rnacentral:rRNA from 1 species
UACGGAGGAUGCGAGCGUUAUCCGGAUUUAUUGGGUUUAGAGGGUGCGUAGGCGGGAUGCCAAGUCAGCGGUAAAAUGUCCGGGCUCAACCCGGGCCGGCCGUUGAAACUGGGGAUCUUGAGUGGGCGAGAAGUACGCGGAAUGCGCGGUGUAGCGGUGAAAUGCAUAGAUAUCGCGCAGAACUCCGAUUGCGAAGGCAGCGUACCGGCGCCAGACUGACGCUGAGGCACGAAAGCGUGGGGAUCGAACAGG